AUCCACUGACUGUCUCGUUAGAUUAACCCUAUAAAUUUCAUUCACUCCGCAUACUCAAUCCUAUAGACACCCUUUUAAUUCUUCAUCACAGACGUAACUCGAUUUCACAAAACAGUCAAGAGUAUUCAAAUCCACUUCAUUAAAAAUCCCGAUUCACCAUUACAACACUGACUUCAGCAACGAUUGCCUCAGUCUUCUCAAAACCCUAUGAAGAAAAAAAAAUCCAAUUCUCUGUCUUUUUUU
rnacentral:lncRNA from 1 species